AACGAACGCUGGCGGCAUGCCUAACACAUGCCAGUCGAACGAGACCUUCGGGUCUCGUGGCGCACGGGUGCGUAACGCGUGGGAAACUGCCCUUAGGUUCGGAAUAACUCCCCGAAAGGGGUGCUAAUACCGGAUAAUGUCUUCGGACCAAAGAUUUAUCGCCUUUGGAUGGGCCCGCGUUGGAUUAGCUAGUUGGUAGGGUAAAAGCCUACCAAGGCGACGAUCCAUAGCUGGUCUGAGAGGAUGAUCAGCCACACUGGGACUGAGACACGGCCCAGACUCCUACGGGAGGCAGCAGUGGGGAAUAUUGGACAAUGGGCGAAAGCCUGAUCCAGCAAUGCCGCGUGAGUGAUGAAGGCCUUAGGGUUGUAAAGCUCUUUUACCCGGGAUGAUAAUGACAGUACCGGGAGAAUAAGCUCCGGCUAACUCCGUG
rnacentral:rRNA from 1 species